rnacentral:rRNA from 1 species
AGGAUUUGAUCCUGGUUCUGAAUGAACGCUAGUAGUUUGCUUUUACACAUGCAAGUUGAAUGGUUUAAAAAACCAUGGCGUACGGGUGAGUAAUUAUGUAAAAAAACUAUCUUUAAGUUUGGGAUAAUUUAUAAAUACCAUAAAAAAGUAUAUUUUGGCAAGUUUCAAAUAUAUAUUGCUUAAAGACGUGUUUACACAGUUUUAGGUGUUUUUACCUUUUAAAGAGGUAAAGCCUUAGAUGCUUAGCGGGUUUUAACGAAUGUACCGCCACACUGGAACUGAGACAAGGUCCAGACUCAAUUGAGGCAGCAGUGAGGAAUAUUGGACAAUGGACGAAAGUCUGAUCCAGCAAAACUACGUAAGUGAUAGACAGCAACUUAGUUGAAAAGCUUUUUCAUCAAAAAAGAUAGUGACAUUAUUUGAAAAAGAAGCCCCGGCAAAUUUCUGUGCCAGCAGCCGCGGUAAUACAGAGGGGGCAGGUGUUAUUCGUAGUUAUUAGGCGUAAAGGGUUCGUAGGUUUCUUAACUAGUUUUCUAAAAAGACCAAGGCUUAACUUUGGUUCAUAGUUUUAACAGUUAAGGUAGAGUUAAGUAAGGGGUGACAGAAUUUUUAAUGUAGAGAUAAAAUUUUAUGAUAUUAAAAAGAAUUUCAGAGGCGAAGGCGGUCACCUAGGCUUAUACUGACACUGAGGAACGAAAGCAUAGGUAGCAAACGGGAUUAGAGACCCCGGUAGUCUAUGCUGUCAACGAUGAAUGUUAAAUCUUGAGGUAUCUCAGGAUUAAAGUUAACACGUUAAACAUUCCGCCUGGGGAGUACGGUCGCAAGAUUAAAACUCAAAGGAAUUGACGGGAGUUUGGAACAGCGGUGGAGCAUUUGGUUUAAUUCGAUAAUACGCGGGAAACCUUACCAACUUUUGCUAUUUUUUUUAUUAAAUUUUUAUUAAAGUAAAAGAAAAACAGGUGUUGCAUGGCUGUCGUCAGCUCGUGUCGUGAGAUGGGUUGGUUAAUUCCUCCAUAACGAGCGUAACCCUUAUUUUUAGUUGUUUAAAACUUUAUUGUAUUUAAGUUUUUAAAUUCUUUAAAAAGACAGCUAAUGAAAGUUAGAGGAAGGCAAGGAUCACGUCAAGUCAUCAUGGCCCUUACAGGUUGGGCUACACACGUGCUACAAUAGGAAAGACAAUAAUAAGCAAUUAUUUGAAUAAUCGCAAAUAUUUAAAUUUUCCUUAAAUUUGGAUUAUAGGCUGUAAUUCGCCUAUAUAAAAUUGGAAUCGCUAGUAAUCGCAAAUCAUCACGUUGCGGUGAAAUUUUAAUACAAACUUUGUACAAACCGCCCGUC